rnacentral:rRNA from 1 species
UCGAGCGGUAGAGAGAAGCUUGCUUCUCUUGAGAGCGGCGGACGGGUGAGUAAUGCCUAUGAAUCUGCCUGGUAGUGGGGGAUAACGUUCGGAAACGGACGCUAAUACCGCAUACGUCCUACGGGAGAAAGCAGGGGACCUUCUGGCCUUGCGCUAUCACAUGAGCCUAGGUCGGAUUAUCUAUUUGGUGAGGUAAUGGCUCACCAAGGCGACAAUCCGUAACUGGUCUGAGAGGAUGAUCACUCACACUGGAACUGAGACACGGUCCACACUCCUACGGGAGGCAGCAGUGGGGAAUAUUGGACAAUGGGCGAAAGCCUGAUCCACCCAUGCCGCGUGUGUGAAGAAGGUCUUCGGAUUGUAAAGCACUUUAAGUUGGGAGGAAGGGCAUUAACCUAAUACUUUAGUGUUUUGACGUUACCGACAGAAUAAGCACCGGCUAACUCUGUGCCAGCAGCCGCGGUAAUACACAGGGUGCAAGCGUUAAUCGGAAUUACUGGGCGUAUAGCGCGCGUAGGUGGUUUGUUAAGUUGAAUGUGAAAU